rnacentral:rRNA from 1 species
UCAACCGAUGGGCUGCAGGAGAUACCACAGGGCUAGGAGGCGGGAGAGGCGGACGGUAUUCCGUGGGUAGGGGCAAAAUCCUCUGAUCCACGAAGGACCACCAGUGGCGAAGGCGGUCCGCCAGAACGCGCUCGACGGUGAGGGACGAAAGCUGGGGGAGCGAACCGGAUUAGAUACCCGGGUAGUCCCAGCUGUAAACGAUGCGAGCUAGGUGAUGGGGUGGCUACAUGCUGCCCCAGUGCCGCAGAGAAGUUGUUAAGCUCGCCGCCUGGGGAGUACGGCCGCAAGGCUGAAACUUAAAGGAAUUGGCGGGGGAGCACCACAAGGGGUGAAGCCUGCGGUUUAAUUGGAGUCAACGCCGGGAACCUUACCGGGAGCGACAGCAGGUUGAAGGUCAGGCUGAAGACCUUACCCGACGAGCUGAGAGGAGGUGCAUGGCCGUCGCCAGCUCGUGCCGUGAGGUGUCCUGUUAAGUCAGGCAACGAGCGAGACCCCCACCUCUAAUUGCUAUCACCACCCGUAAGGGUGGUGAGGCUAGUUAGUGGGACUGCCGUCGCUAAGACGGAGGAAGGAGGGGGCUACGGCAGGUCAGUAUGCCCCGAAACUCCUGGGCCACACGCGGGCUGCAAUGGUAGAGACAAUGGGUUCCAACCUCGAAAGAGGGAGGCAAUCCCCAAACCNUACCCCAGUUGUGAUUGAGGGCUGCAACCCGCCCUCAUGAAUCUGGAAUCCGUAGUAACCGCGUGUCACCAUCGCGCGGUG